AAUGUACUCCCUCCGUCCCAAAAUUCUUGUCUUAGAUUUGUCUAGAUACGGAUGUACCUAAUACUAAAACGUGACUUGAUACAUCCGUAUUUAGACAAAUCUAAGACAAGAAUUUUGGGACGGAGGGAGUAUAUA
rnacentral:pre_miRNA from 1 species